UGGGGAAUAUUGGACAAUGGGCGAAAGCCUGAUCCAGCCAUGCCGCGUGUGUGAAGAAGGUCUUCGGAUUGUAGAGCACUUUAAGUUGGGAGGAAGGGCAUUAACCUAAUACGUUAGUGUUUUGACGUUACCGACAGAAUAAGCACCGGCUAACUCUGUGCCAGCAGCCGCGGUAAUACAGAGGGUGCAAGCGUUAAUCGGAAUUACUGGGCGUAAAGCGCGCGUAGGUGGUUUGUUAAGUUGGAUGUGAAAUCCCCGGGCUCAACCUGGGAACUGCAUUCAAAACUGACUGACUAGAGUAUGGUAGAGGGUGGUGGAAUUUCCUGUGUAGCGGUGAAAUGCGUAGAUAUAGGAAGGAACACCAGUGGUGAAGGCGACCACCUGGACUAAUACUGACACUGAGGUGCGAAAGCGUGGGGAGCAAACA
rnacentral:rRNA from 1 species